CAUCACGACCAUCGUCAUCACCACCACCACCAUCAUCAUCAUCAUCACGACCAUCGUCAUCACCGCCACCACCACCACCAUCGCUACCAUCAUCAUCAUUAACGAGGUGGCAGGAGGCGUUGGGCGACCCGGGGAAAGGUGACAGGCGACUAGACCACGCGUCUCCUCCUAGACUGCUGCUGAGCGGCGUGAGGCCGUGAAGGCGAAGCGGUGCUCAUAGGAAAAGCGAUCUCCCUGCACACAAGACGAACUACUUUGACCAUCACCACCAUCGCGAGCGUCACCCACCAUCAUUCACCGCCACCACCAACAAAAACCACGACCGCGACCGAUGUGACGUGACUUCCUUGGUGGCGUCAAGACAGAGCAGCGGUGGAUAGAGCAUCUCCCAUUGUCCCAAAUCGGGACCUACGUGGAGUAUGGUGUCAUAACGGAUCGCAGGAACAUCUCUGGAGCCCGUGGAAUUCAUUGAGGGUUGGAAUAGGAGGAGGGUGGGAGCAGGACGUACGGUUGGAGCAGACGGUGGAAGCAGUGGACAGGG